rnacentral:rRNA from 1 species
UACAGAGGUCCCAAGCGUUGUUCGGAUUCACUGGGCGUAAAGGGUGCGCAGGCGGCCGUGUGUGUGAGGCGUGAAAGCCCGGGGCUUAACCCCGGAAUUGCACCUCAAACUACACGGCUAGAGCAUUGGAGAGGGUAGCGGAAUUCACGGUGUAGCAGUGAAAUGCGUAGAUAUCGUGAGGAACACCAGAGGCGAAGGCGGCUACCUGGACAAUUGCUGACGCUCAGGCACGAAAGCGUGGGGAGCAAACAGG